AUUGACCCUGCUUUAUCCGCCCUGAAAGUAAAUCCAAAUUAAUUUGGAACAUCAUCAAACCAAAUUUUAUCAUAAAAUGUCAGGAAAUUGGAACAAUAGCCGUGGCGGAAGCGGUGGUUCUAGAUUUGGAAAUGGAGGCGGAAGCCGGUUUAGCAGUGGCGGUAAUGGCGGCAGCCGAUUUGGAGGCUCCGGUGGUUUUGGUGGCAAGAAAGAAUUUACUGGUGGCCAGAACAUGCGUCGUCCAAAUUGGAGUUCAGUGUCCUUACAGCCAUUCAACAAAGAUUUCUAUAACCCACACCCAUCAGUGCUAGGUCGCUCUGCCUAUGAUGUAGAAGAAUACAGAAACAAUCAUGAAGUCACUAUAAGUGGUGUGGAUGUACAUAAUCCUAUUCAACAUUUUGAAGAAGGAAACUUUCCAGACUAUGUAAUGCAGAGCAUUACUAAUCAAGGUUACUUGGAACCAACUCCAAUUCAGGCACAAGGCUGGCCAAUUGCUAUGUCUGGAAAGAACCUGGUUGGCAUAGCUCAGACAGGGUCUGGAAAAACAUUGGCCUAUAUUCUACCUGCUAUUGUGCAUAUUAACAACCAGCCGCCGAUCAGGCGCGGCGAUGGCCCUAUUGCUCUGGUUCUUGCACCCACUAGAGAGCUGGCUCAGCAGAUCCAACAGGUCGCCACAGACUUUGGUAACGCGUCAUAUGUGCGGAAUACUUGCGUAUUCGGUGGUGCGCCAAAGAGGGAACAAGCUCGCGACUUGGAAAGAGGUGUUGAAAUUGUUAUUGCAACACCUGGCCGUUUGAUUGAUUUCCUGGAGAAAGGCACUACAAAUCUUCAGCGCUGCACAUACUUGGUCCUUGAUGAAGCUGAUCGCAUGUUGGACAUGGGUUUUGAGCCUCAGAUCAGGAAGAUUAUUGAACAAAUUCGUCCUGACAGGCAAACGUUGAUGUGGUCUGCGACUUGGCCUAAGGAAGUCCGCAAACUUGCUGAAGAUUAUUUGGGAGACUACCAGCAGAUCAACAUUGGAUCGCUUCAACUGUCUGCAAAUCAUAACAUCCUGCAAAUUGUUGAUGUUUGUCAAGAGCAUGAGAAAGAAAACAAAUUGAAUGUGUUGUUGCAAGAAAUUGGUCAAAGCCAGGAGCCUGGUGCAAAAACCUUAAUUUUUGUUGAGACCAAGAGAAAAGCAGAAAACAUUACCAGAAACAUUAGACGAUAUGGCUGGCCAGCAGUUUGCAUGCAUGGAGACAAAACACAGCAAGAGAGAGAUGAAGUAUUAUACCAAUUUAAACAAGGACGUGCUAGUAUUCUGGUCGCAACCGAUGUUGCUGCUAGAGGACUUGAGGCACUGGCGGAAAGUUAUUGUGUUCUAUUAGAAUACUGCCUGAAAUUGAAAGGCAUGUUACUGCACUGGAUCUGUACCUGAGACAAUAGUCUUAUGCAGUGGUAUUUGAACAGAGAAUGCAAUAACUCGUCAUAUUACAGUGCCUCAAAUGUGCCUUUCACUGUGAUGGGACCUGAGGCCGAAGCUUGAUGGUUUGUCCGUGAACACGGAUAUACUUGAGAGUUGAUGAAAACCUGGUGAUGCACUGCAAUUGACUACAUGUCCUCUCAGACUGAUUGCAAUGAUAAAGCAGAGAAUGGUGCAUCGUUGAAAAACUUGACCACAGGUUGAAAAGAUCGGCAAGGGGUCAAGGGUUUUCUGUUUCGGCCAAAUGGAGUUUUCAACGGGGCAAAGAAAUUAUUUUAAACAACAAAGAAUAAGCAAAGACUUAAAAAGCCCUAGCAAGACUCCAAGGUUCUGAGUGAGAGGCAAAUGCGUAAUUGUUUUGUCAAACAUUUCUGUGUAACUCAAUUCAUACGUCGAUGGUAUCAAGUAUGUGAUUAACUUUGACUAUCCUAACUCUUCUGAGGAUUACAUUCAUCGCAUUGGUCGAACAGGACGGUCAAAGACGACGGGAACUUCAUACGCCUUUUUCACACCAUCUAAUUCCCGUC